rnacentral:lncRNA from 13 species
GUGACGUGACGUGACGUGACGUUGAGUAAGGCAGAGAAAAGCCGUAAAGACGUACGACGUGUUGUGUUGAAUGUCUGAUGAUCUAUUAAGUGCGCGGAGAGACGAGGUUAAUCCACAUUUUUCCCUGCUAUAUAUACUACAAUUAUUACAAACGUACAUGUUUUUCUCGAUUGACGAGUUUUGUAUCUUAAAAAUAUUCCACUACUUUGAUGCAGAAUAGUAUUGCAUUAGAAUAACCUACAUGCAGCGAGCGAACUACAUCAACUACAACUUACUCAUUAAGCUAUCUCUGUACAGUUGCAUUUUUUUUCGGUCUCCCAAUCUUAUUUAUAGAAUAUUUAGUUAUU